UACAGAAGGUGCAAGCGUUACUCGGAAUCACUGGGCGUAAAGGGUCCGUAGGCGUCUUGAAAAGUCUGGUGUAAAAGCACGGAGCUCAACUCCGUGUAUGUGCCGGAAACUCUCGAGAUAGAGUCAUGCAGAGGCAUCUGGAAUUCCAUGUGUAGGGGUAAAAUCCGUUGAUCCAUGGAGGAACGCCAAAAGCGAAGGCAGGAUGCUGGGCAUGUACUGACGCUGAGGGACGAAAGCGUGGGGAGCGAAGCGG
rnacentral:rRNA from 1 species